rnacentral:rRNA from 1 species
UACGGGGGGGGCAAGCGUUGUUCGGAAUUACUGGGCGUAAAGGGCUCGUAGGUGGCCAACUAAGUCAGACGUGAAAUCCCUCGGCUUAACCGGGGAACUGCGUCUGAUACUGGAUGGCUUGAGUUUGGGAGAGGGACGCGGAAUUCCAGGUGUAGCGGUGAAAUGCGUAGAUAUCUGGAGGAACACCGAUGGCGAAGGCAAUCCCCUGGACCUGUACUGACGCUCAUGCACGAAAGCGUGGGGAGCAAACAGG